AAAAAAGUAAGAAAGGGCGUAUGGCGGAUGCCUAGGCUCACAGAGGCGAUGAAGGACGUGAUAAGCUGCGAUAAGCUUCGGGUAGGUGCAAAUAACCUUUGAUCCGAGGAUUUCCGAAUGGGACAACCCAUACAUUUGAAGAAUGUAUAUCUCUACCUAAGGUAGAGAGGCAAACCGAGGGAACUGAAACAUCUUAGUACCUCGAGGAAGAGAAAAUAAAUAAUGAUUCCCCCAGUAGUGGCGAGCGACCGGGGAAGAGCCCAAACCGUCGUUGUUUCGGCAUCGGCGGGGUAGUAGGACCGCGAUAUUGUAUGUGUUUUGUGAGUAGAAUGUUCUGGAAAGAACAACCAUAGGAGGUGAAAGUCCUGUAUACGAAGCAAAACAUGGCAUAGCGGUAUCCUGAGUAGCGCGGAGCACGAGGAAUUCUGCGUGAAUCAGCCGGGACCAUCCGGUAAGGCUAAAUACUCCUGUGAGACCGAUAGUGAACGAGUACUGUGAAGGAAAGGUGAAAAGCACUCCGAUGAGGAGAGUGAAAUAGUUCCUGAAACCAUACGCCUACAAGCGGUCGGAGCUCAGCAAUGAGUGACGGCGUGCCUUUUGCAUAAUGAACCUACGAGUUACCGUCUCUGGCAAGGUUUAGUAUCUCAGAUACGUAUCCGCAGUGAAAGCGAGCCUGAAAUGGGCGUAUAGUCAGAGGGGGUAGACGCGAAACCAAGUGAUCUACACUUGGCCAGGUUGAAGUUCCGGUAACACGGAAUGGAGGACCGAACGGAUAAGCGUUGAAAAGCUUCCCGAUGAGCCGAGUGUAGGAGUGAAAGGCCAAUCAAACUUGGAGAUAGCUCGUACUCCCCGAAAUGCAUUUAGGUGCAGCGUGUAUCGAUCCGCAUGAGAGGUAGAGCGACCGAUAGGUCAAGAGGGCUUCACCGCCUAUCGAGACCUGACGAACUCCGAAUGCUCAUGCGCCGCAGAUAUGCAGUAAGGGGGCGGGUGCUAAGGUCCGUCCCCGAGAGGAGAAGAAUCCAGACCGCCAACUAAGGCCCCGAAAUUCUGUCUGAGUUAGUCUAACGAAGUCUGGUCCCUAUGACAGCUAGGAUGUUGGCUUGGAAGCAGCCAUUCAUUCAAAGAGUGCGUAACAGCUCACUAGUCGAGGGUCCGGGCAUGGAUAAUAAUCGGGUAUAAGGCAGAUGCCGAAGUUGCGGGAUAGUAAUAAUAAAAGUAUCGGUAGGGGAGCAUUCCAUCGGCGCAGAAUGCAAAGGAUGACCUUUGCUGGAGCUUAUGGAAAAGCAAAUGUAGGUAUAAGUAACGAUAAAAGGGGUUAGAUUCCCCUUCGCCGCAAGACCAAGGUUUCCCGGGCAAUGCCAAUCAGCCCGGGGUUAGUCAGGUCCUAAGUCUCAGCCGAACGGCGAUGGCGAUGGCAGAAACGGUUAAUAUUCCGUUACUGCCGCAUGGAGUGAUGUGGAGACGGAGCAGUGACACUACCGCGGAGAUACGGAAUUCUCCGUUGAAGGGUGUAGGCGCAGAUCGAGGCAGGCAAAUCCACCUUGAGAGCCGAACCUGAUAGUAUGGAGUCUUCUUCGGAAGAGUCCAAUAGCGUAGGUAAUCAUACUUCCUAGAAAAUCCGCUAAACUUAAUCCAUGCGGCACCUGUACCGCAAACGGACACACGUGGUCGGGUAGAACAUACUAAGGCGUUGAGAGAUUCUUGGUUAAGGAACUAGGCAAAUUGACCCUGUAACUUCGGGAUAAAGGGUCCUCACAGUAAUGUGAGGCGCAGAGAAUAGGUCCAGGCAACUGUUUAACAAAAACACAGGGCUGUGCAAACUCGAAAGAUGACGUAUACAGCCUGACACCUGCCCGGUGCCGGAAGGUUAAGAGGAGAAGUCAGUAGCAAUAUGAAGCUUUGAAUUGAAGCCCCGGUAAACGGCGGCCGUAACUAUAACGGUCCUAAGGUAGCGAAAUUCCUUGUCGGGUAAGUUCCGACCUGCACGAAUGGUGUAAUGAUCCGGACGCUGUCUCAACCAAGAGCUCAGUGAAAUUGUAGUAUCGGUGAAGAUGCCGAUUACCCGCGAUGGGACGAAAAGACCCCGUGAACCUUUACUACAGCUUAGCAUUGACUUUGGUCAUCCGAUGUGUAGGAUAGGCCGGAGGCUUUGAAGCAGGCACGCCAGUGUUUGUGGAGCCAUCCUUGAAAUACGGCCCUUUGGCUGUCUGAAGUCUAACGCGCUCUGCGCGACAUUGCUUGGUGGGUAGUUUGACUGGGGUGGUCGCCUCCAAAAGCGUAACGGAGGCUUCCAAAGGUGCCCUCGGACCGAUUGGUAACCGGUCUCAUAGAGUGUAAUGGCAUAAGGGCGCUUGACUGGGAGGGAGACAUCCCGAGCAGGCAGGAAACUGGGGCAUAGUGAUCCGGCGGAUGUGUAUGGAAACUCCGUCGCUCAAAGGAUAAAAGGUACUCCGGGGAUAACAGGCUGAUCCCCCCCCAAGAGCUCAUAUCGACGGGGUGGUUUGGCACCUCGAUGUCGGCUCGUCACAUCCUGGGGCUGGAGAAGGUCCCAAGGGUUGGGCUGUUCGCCCAUUAAAGUGGCACGCGAGCUGGGUUCAGAACGUCGUGAGACAGUUCGGUCUCUAUCUAUCGUGGGCGCGGGAGUUUUGAGUGGACACGUCACUAGUACGAGAGGACCGUGACGUACAGACCUCCGGUUUACCAGUUGUUCCGCCAGGUGCACUGCUGGGUAUCUGAGUCUGGCCGGGAUAAGCGCUGAAAGCAUCUAAGUGCGAAGCCCUCCGCAAGAUUAGAACUCCAUUGAGGGCCGUCGAAGACGACGACGUUGAUAGGAUGCAGGUGUAAAGACGGUGACGUCAAAGCCGAGCAUUACUAAUUGCCCGAAACUUUUUUCG
rnacentral:rRNA from 1 species